GCGAGACCGGCGCGGGGCAGGCUGGGUAAUACAGCUCGGUGAGGCCGAUCGCAGAGCACGUCUUGCCCCCGCCUCCUCCCUUGGUUACUGGUCCAGCCAGGCUGUGAGACAGAAAACCGCCCACCGUGUGACUGCAGAAUCCCACGGCAUCCCGGUCAACUGCUAACCAUGAAGUGGAUUUUCUUCCAGGACUGAACUCUGGAAGGGACAGAAGCUGGAGUUUUGGAAAGAAAGAGAAGUGGCAUUGGAACUAGUACGUCCUGUUGAUUUGUGAUUUACAAAAAGGGCGGGGGGGAAGGUGCACCCCUUAUUCUUCAGGAGUUGAGAAGUGUCAUCAAGCACCAGAACAGGGGCCACACAUCAGACCGGAACAGGAUCUCACACCAUGCUGCCUGAGUCUUCUUCCAGAGAAUGUUCCUGCAAAGAGUGUCCUCAGCCUCAGCCAGUCCGAUGAACUCAGCUGCUUGAGAAGUUGUGAAGGAUGGGGUCAGAAUCCUUACAGAAGUUUCUCGUUGAGAGGGGCUUCCAAAGCCCCCACAGCCACGAACUUCCCCUUCGAGGUCUGAUCCCUUUAAUGAGGGCGUACCACCGUCAGGUAGAUUUUCUCCCUUGGCUUUGUUGAAACUGCUCACCUCCGGCACGCACGGAGCUAAUGUGCUGCACCUUCUAUAGCCCUGGCAUCACCUGUUUGUCCUUUGGCAGCCCGGGCACAUGCGGGAAGAGCCAUCCACAGCACCUGCCGCCCCAAGAACCCCUCCGAUUGAGGAAGCCAGGAACCUGGGUGGUGCAAAUGGUUUAUCCUAUUUGCAGCCAAAUGUUAACACCUGAUAAAGCCAAAAGGUGACUCUCGUGCCUUUUGUUUGGGGAAUACUUACCGAGUGAGUUCAUUCCAGCAGAAACCUGAGCAAAGGUGACUCUUGGGUCCUUCUGCCGUCUGUCCUCUGGCAAAAGCUUCCCACUUCGCAGAGCUCCUUUGCGGAAAGGAUCGAUCCGCACCUCGGUCAGUCUGAAGGCAGAUUUCUCUCAAGGAUGGCGGCACUUUCUGGAGUUUUCGUGGGUACAGCCAGUGACUGCUUAACCUGGAUUCACAAACUACGUCUUCUUGGUCCCCAACCAUGGGGAUCACCUGGGCUCCUGAGCCGGCUAGAAUCACACCCCAGGCAGGAGAAGGAGGUUUCCCAGCCAAGUCUAGCCGGUGCUCAAGGCCAUGUUAGCUUUUCACACAGCAAGCUGGGAAGAGCUGGGAUAGCCUGAAGCUUUGUUUUUAGAUGUAGGCUCAGGACUUUCUGGGGAGGUACCACAGAAAGACAAGGCCCCACCCAUCAAAGAGUCAAUAAAUAACUUUUUUUUUUUAA